AGGCCAUGGUGAGGGCACAGCCUUCGUAGACUCUUGAAUCUAUCCCAUGCUUCGAAUAAAGAUUCUCCCUUUGCUUGAAUAAAAUUUGUGAUGCAACUCCUCAUGU